GUGCCAGCAGCCGCGGUAAGACGAAGGACCCAAGCGUUAUCCGGAUUCAUUGGGUUUAAAGGGUGCGUAGGCGGGUUGAUAAGUCAGUGGUGAAAGCCCAACGCUUAACGUUGGAACUGCCAUUGAUACUGUCGAUCUUGAAUGUGUUUGAUGUGGGCGGAAUAUGACAUGUAGCGGUGAAAUGCUUAGAUAUGUCAUAGAACACCGAUUGCGAAGGCAGCUCACAAAGCCACUAUUGACGCUGAGGCACGAAAGCGUGGGGAUCAAACAGGAUUAGAUACCCUGGUAGUCC
rnacentral:rRNA from 1 species